ACGAUGAAGAGUUUGAUCCUGGCUCAGGAUGAACGCUAGCGGCAGGCCUAACACAUGCAAGUCGAGGGGUAACAUUUGUGCUUGCACAAGAUGACGACCGGCGCACGGGUGCGCACCGCGUAUGGAACCUGCCUUGUACAGGGGAAUAGCCCAGGGAAACUUGGAUUAAUGCCCCAUAGUAUAUAGACUUCUCCUGGAGUUUAUAUUAAACAUUUAUGGCUAUUAGAUGGGUAUGCGUCCUAUUAGUUAGUUGGUAAGGUAACGGCUUACCAAGGCAGCGAUAGGUAGGGGUCCUGAGAGGGAGAUCCCCCACACUGGUACUGAGACACGGACCAGAC
rnacentral:rRNA from 1 species